CCUACGGGCGGCAGCAGUGAGGAAUAUUGGUCAAUGGACGCAAGUCUGAACCAGCCAUGCCGCGUGCAGGAAGACGGCUCUAUGAGUUGUAAACUGCUUUUGUACGAGGGUAAACGCAGAUACGCGUAUCUUUCUGAAAGUAUCGUACGAAUAAGGAUCGGCUAACUCCGUGCCAGCAGCCGCGGUAAUACGGAGGAUUCAAGCGUUAUCCGGAUUUAUUGGGUUUAAAGGGUGCGUAGGCGGUCGGAUAAGUUAGGGGUGAAAUCCCGAGGCUCAACUGCGAAAUUGCCUUUGAUACUGUUCGGCUAGAGAGUAGUUGCGGUAGGCGGAAUGUAUGGUGUAGCGGUGAAAUGCUUAGAGAUCAUACAGAACACCGAUUGCGAAGGCAGCUUACCAAGCUACUUCUGACGUUGAGGCACGAAAGCGUGGGGAGCAAACAGGAUUAGAUACCCGGGUAGUC
rnacentral:rRNA from 1 species